ACACUCCUGCGGGAGGCAGCAGUGGGGAAUAUUGCACAAUGGGCGCAAGCCUGAUGCAGCCAUGCCGCGUGUGUGAAGAAGGCCUUCGGGUUGUAAAGCACUUUCAGCGGGGAGGAAGGCGAUACGGUUAAUAACCGUGUUGAUUGACGUUACCCGCAGAAGAAGCACCGGCUAACUCCGUGCCAGCAGCCGCGGUAAUACGGAGGGUGCAAGCGUUAAUCGGAAUUACUGGGCGUAAAGCGCACGCAGGCGGUCUGUCAAGUCGGAUGUGAAAUCCCCGGGCUCAACCUGGGAACUGCAUUCGAAACUGGCAGGCUUGAGUCUUGUAGAGGGGGGUAGAAUUCCAGGUGUAGCGGUGAAAUGCGUAGAGAUCUGGAGGAAUACCGGUGGCGAAGGCGGCCCCCUGGACAAAGACUGACGCUCAGGUGCGAAAGCGUGGGGAGCAAACAGGAUUAGAAACCCGUGUAGUCCCAUGAU
rnacentral:rRNA from 1 species